CGUUCGAUACUAGUUAUCUAAAUACUGGUUUGGGAUCCGAAAUAUACGAAAUAAUGUUAUGUCAACAAACACAUCAUGAAUGCCAAGCAUCGUAAGUUCAGCUAUGUCCACUAGCUACGGUAGUCAACAAGGUCGUCUCCGGCACAAAAACACGCAAUGCGUUUUCACCACAAUCCAUUGCGAGGCGAAGCGACUCCUGCAGAGCCGUCGAGGGGACAUUCGUUAGCCUCAGCAGUUCACAUUCGAAUCAAGAUCGAAAACAAAAUGAUUUUUGACAACUUUACCGAUUUUGACUUACCCGAUCAUGUCUACCGAUUUCGACACUACCGAUUUGGAAAAUCCCGAUUUUGACAACACCGAUUUUGUCGACACUGAUUACGACUUCUACCAAUUUUGACCACUACCGAUUAUGUUUACGGAUCAUGCACAAUUGUAAGGGGAUUACCAAGAAAAAAAAAUCAAAAGGAACGCGAUCUGGAGGCGCGGUAAAACCUCUAUUCUGGGCUCUUGGUAAUUUAGAGGACUAAAUCCCUCUUUACCCUAAUCUUCUGUGUCAAACUCCAAACCAGAUGAAACAAAUUACUAAAAUUUAAAUUGUAAAAGUUCAGCUUUGUAAGAUCUUUUCAUUAGUUAUUGAAUGAUAUAAGAUCUUGUUUUUUGUUUGCUGCUUUUGAAAUAUUUGUUAAUUUCAGGAUUCGAAGGAGUUUCUUUCUGCCAUAUAUGAUGGUGAAAAUCGACACCUUUGCCAAGAUUCGUUGGCGUAUAGUUUUGUUGAUUAGUUUAAGUUUCUGUAUGGAUUUUGCCAAGAUUCGUUGGCGUCAAGAUCUAGUUUAGUAUUAUGAUUAUUUUGUGGUUUAUUUUAGAUAUAUUCACCAGUGCACGGUGAAACAUUAUCGAUGUCUGCUCGAUACAACCGCCGAUCAAUCUCCUUCGAACUCCUUGUGGCGUUUUUGGAAUUUUUCAUGGAUCCUUAUUCAUGAUCCAUGAAAAAUUCUACCAAAGCAGCAAUGUUGUGUUACGUUCGAGUUUUAUAACAAUAUUUUCAUUGAUAUGAUAUAAGCGAUACUGGCAACAAAGUUUUUAAAUUACCCAUCCCCAUGUAGAGAAUUGGCGUGCGCUGAAAAUUUACCCAACUUUACAUCGAAUAUACACGGCGUGUGAAUAAACAAAAUAUACCACGCUCAGCGUGUAGAAACGGCCCAGGAACUGUCAUCACUGUUUCCGGGUGAGUCAAACAAAAGUCGCCGCACGAGCAAGUGGUGGAGAAAUCUUGUCGCUGGGAAAACCCGGAAUUCCGGGAGGAAAACGCAACCGAGGGGCUUCAGUUCGCACCAGCAGCUAGCGAAGGUACGUCCUUUAGUCGGUAAUCAGCCGAAACUCUGACGGGAAUGCAUUGUUCGCAGAUUCAUCAAGACGCACUCUAAGCCACGUUGCUUGCUGAGCGGUUAAGCUGAAGAGGAACCGAGAUUGGAGUCGUCCAGACGGAACUUCAAAGCAACAAACGGGCAAAAAUAAUCGUGGGCCGCACAGACGGCCUUUUUUUUUGACACCCUUGAUUCUCCUCAUUUGUCGCUUGCGGAGCGCCUUUUCCGUGCCAUCAACCACGGUGACAUUGCGGAUAAUUCCACCAGUACCCCCUCACUGUUUUGUUGGUGUUUCGGUGACAAGUUCCUUCUUCGGCCGGAGCGGAAUUGAUCCUCAGUGAAACUUGAACAAUCAGAUCGACAAUUGGAGGGGAACUGCUAAAGAGGGUCCGGAUCAGCAGUAGCGUGGCAUCAAAGUUUUCAUUCUCCAUCCGGUGUGGGACAGAUCGGCUUUGACCAACUAGCCAUCAAGUUCCCGCCCGAUGAUUCAUCCGGAGAUGAAUGGGUCGGCUGCAAGGCAAGGUAAAGGUGCUCAUCGAUUUCCGUGGCGCAGAUGCCGGGACGGCAACAGCAGUUCCAAGGGCUGGAUUUCAUCUUUAGCAGCUCCAGCGGUGCGCGAAGGCAGUGUCCCGCGAAAAUCCAUAUCAGUGACGUCAGAAAAAUCAGGGAGGAGAGUGGCACAGUCAUGCAGGUGGCACUAUCGGCGCCAUCCAAGCCGUUUGGAAGCACGACACCGGAUCUCAAGGAGGAGCACCCGGACGGAGGCGGGACAAAAAGGAGCCAUCCUGUUGGCAUGUCGUUGUUGUGAAAUCCUGAUGUAAGUACACGCACAUGGACGGGGAAGUGUGGGAUUUUAUUCAAACUGUUGCCCCAAUAUAACCUCAACCAAACUUAA